GGUGUUUGAAAGGCUUAGAGUAAAGAAAUUUAACAUGAGAGCUAAAAGUGCAAACCUGGCAGAAUAGGUUGUAACAGGGUAGCUUGUAUUGAAAACUUCAUAACUUAUUGUAUAUUUAUUAAAAUUAAGCCUAAGAUAUACCAAAUGAAAGCUGAGACAAAGAUCUAAAACUUUCAUGAAUUGACUAAAUUCUGAAUCUGUAGGUAAGAUGAUAAAAAUUUCAAGUGAACCUAAACUAGAUACAGAGUUAGUGCAUUCGGAAUAGUGUGUAUUGAUUGUACCAUAAUUAAUUAUGUACUCAGUGAAAUUUAUUAAAACAAGUUCCAAAUGAAUCUUAAGAAAUAUACCUAAAACUUUGUAGAAGACACUUAAGCUUGAAUUUGUAUGAAAAUGUAUGAAUCUGAUAUGUUUUGUGAUACUAUAAACAAGUACCAAUACUGGACUGUUUAAUAUCUUAUUGAGCAGUUUGUAAAGAAAAAUUCAUAACUUAAGUUAGAGUAUUCAGAAUUGCAUGAACUAUACCUUGUUGGAAAGAUAAGACAUAAAUGUACAUUUGUUAUGAAGAAACUGAAGUCAAAUUGUAACUCUAAGCUACUUGAAAAGUUUAUACAAUAUAAGGCAGAAUGCAGUUUUCUCAAAUUGGAA
rnacentral:lncRNA from 1 species